UUCGCCCUUAGAGUUUGAUCCUGGCUCAGGACGAACGCUGGCGGCGCGCCUAACACAUGCAAGUCGAACGAGAGAGAGGGAGCUUGCUUCCUCAAUCGAGUGGCGAACGGGUGAGUAACGCGUGAGGAACCUGCCUCAAAGAGGGGGACAACAGUUGGAAACGACUGCUAAUACCGCAUAAGCCCACAGCUCGGCAUCGAGCAGAGGGAAAAGGAGCAAUCCGCUUUGAGAUGGCCUCGCGUCCGAUUAGCUAGUUGGUGAGGUAAUGGCCCACCAAGGCGACGAUCGGUAGCCGGACUGAGAGGUUGAACGGCCACAUUGGGACUGAGACACGGCCCAGACUCCUACGGGAGGCAGCAGUGGGGAAUAUUGCACAAUGGGGGAAACCCUGAUGCAGCGACGCCGCGUGGAGGAAGAAGGUCUUCGGAUUGUAAACUCCUGUUGUUGAGGAAGAUAAUGACGGUACUCAACAAGGAAGUGACGGCUAACUACGUGCCAGCAGCCGCGGUAAAACGUAGGUCACAAGCGUUGUCCGGAAUUACUGGGUGUAAAGGGAGCGCAGGCGGGAAGACAAGUUGGAAGUGAAAUCUAUGGGCUCAACCCAUAAACUGCUUUCAAAACUGUUUUUCUUGAGUAGUGCAGAGGUAGGCGGAAUUCCCGGUGUAGCGGUGGAAUGCGUAGAUAUCGGGAGGAACACCAGUGGCGAAGGCGGCCUACUGGGCACCAACUGACGCUGAGGCUCGAAAGUGUGGGUAGCAAACAGGAUUAGAUACCCUGGUAGUCCACACCGUAAACGAUGAUUACUAGGUGUUGGAGGAUUGACCCCUCAGUGCCGCAGUUAACACAAUAAGUAAUCCACCUGGGGAGUACGACCGCAAGGUUGAAACUCAAAGGAAUUGACGGGGGCCCGCACAAGCAGUGGAGUAUGUGGUUUAAUUCGACGCAACGCGAAGAACCUUACCAAGUCUUGACAUCCUGCGACGAUGCUGGAAACAGUAUUUUCCUUCGGGACGCAGAGACAGGUGGUGCAUGGUUGUCGUCAGCUCGUGUCGUGAGAUGUUGGGUUAAGUCCCGCAACGAGCGCAACCCUUACUGUCAGUUACUACGCAAGAGGACUCUGGCAGGACUGCCGUUGACAAAACGGAGGAAGGUGGGGAUGACGUCAAAUCAUCAUGCCCUUUAUGACUUGGGCUACACACGUACUACAAUGGCGUUAAACAAAGAGAAGCAAGACCGCGAGGUGGAGCAAAACUCAGAAACAACGUCCCAGUUCGGACUGCAGGCUGCAACUCGCCUGCACGAAGUCGGAAUUGCUAGUAAUCGUGGAUCAGCAUGCCACGGUGAAUACGUUCCCGGGUCUUGCACACACCGCCCGUCA
rnacentral:rRNA from 1 species